AGUGAACGCUGGCGGCGUGCUUAACACAUGCAAGUCGAACGAGAACGGAAUAUAGCUUGCUAUAUUUGUCAGCUAAGUGGCGCACGGGUGAGUAAUGUAUAGAUAACCCGCCCUUAAGAAAGGAAUAACAGUUGGAAACGACUGCUAAUGCCCUAUAUGCCUUUAAUACAUAAGUAUGCAAGGGAAACGCUUUAGUGCUUAAGGAUGGGUCUGUAUGGUAUCAGCUUGUUGGUGAGGUAAUGGCUCACCAAGGCUAUGACGCCUAACUGGUUUGAGAGGAUGAUCAGUCGCACUGGAACUGAGACACGGUCCAGACUCCUACGGGAGGCAGCAGUGGGGAAUAUUGCACAAUGGACGAAAGUCUGAUGCAGCAACGCCGCGUGGAGGAUGACACAUUUCGGUGCGUAAACUCCUUUUAUAUAGGAAGAUAAUGACGGUACUAUAUGAAUAAGCACCGGCUAACUCCGUGCCAGCCGCCGCGGUAACAC
rnacentral:rRNA from 1 species